CUUUUUUUUAAGUGUUCAGUAUAACCAUAGAUGUCUAGCAAUCGGGCAUGUUAAUUUAUGAGUUAUGUAAUUUCACAAACAAUGCAAAUUUCUUCCCAGAAGUCUGAAAGCGUUGGAGAUAACUAAUCAGAAAAUGAAGGAAGACCUCCACCACUGAGUCCAGGGCAAAGGGAAGAGACAAAGUAAAGCAGACCCGUCAGUACAGGCGGAAUUAUUAAUGACGUCCAAAUGCAGAAUCAUUAAACAUUAUCAGGCUUACUUAUUGACUCCUGAUAUUAAGAGUGAACAACCCCCACGCCAAGUGAGAACUUGUUACAGUAGCCUUUAUCUUUCUAUCACUCAUUCAUUCAAUCCAUUAAAGCCUGUUUGUCUCUUCCUGGUGACUCUUAAUGAGUUUCAUUGUUUUGUUUAUUGUGUUUGUUGGCUCAUAGAUCUCUUUCACAAUUUUCUUCGGCUUCUGAAUGCUCUUUAAGUACCAGUUUUGAUCAGCCCGUUUGCAGCUAGUGCUUUAAUAAACGUGUCUUUGAAUAAAUGAAAGAAGUGGGAAAGCAAGAUGGGACAAGGCGAUACGAGGAGAAAAGGGGCCAAAGGGAAUGGCACGGGCUGCCUGUGUUCCCUGGAAAAGCCAGCAGGUGGUAGCAACACUUCGUGAGAAGGCCCCAGCCCAUCUCUGUAGGACCCAAACAAUAGACCCCAAAUCCCGUCCUCGGCUAGAGAAGGGGUUACGGGUGGGCGGAAACAUUUUUCCUCGUGGCGCCCCCCUCGGUUCCUCAACCCUGCCUCCAGGCACCAGCUGAGAGCACCUUGCACCGCCCCUCCAGGGAGGUUCUCUCCUGAGCGCGGGCGAGGGAGGAGGCACGCAGAGGUGCCGCGACUUGCCCAGCCUUGUCAGCGCCAGGCACGCAGCAGACUUCCCCUUUUCAACCCGACUGCCCUGUCCCUUGGGGAGGAUGGAUGGAGGGAGGUUCGACUCAGAAGCCUCAACGUUGACCACGAUCCAGACACGAGUUCCAGUUCCUAGAGUUAAAGCCGAAGAGGAGGGAGGCGCGAGGAGGUGUGCGCGGGUCUCUGCCCUGCCCAGGACUGCCACGGUCCGCCAGUUGCGCUUCGCUCCACGGGUGUCCGACCCCGGCCCGAGGGCUUUACAGACAGGCGCUUCACUUCCCGCCUCCUGCAGGCGCCCCACGCGUGCGAUCCUCACGGCCCAGACCCGCGAGAGGAGGCCACCCCCUCCCCGGCGCACAGGCGGGGCCCCGGGCGCGCCCCGCGUCUCCCCCGCGCGCCGGGGCGGAGGAGCGGGCGCCGCGCACUAGUCGCCUAGGCCGGGAGGGCGGGCUUGGCUCCCCGGAAGAGGGGAGUGGGAAGGCGGCCGAGGGGGUUGGAGGGGCGGGUCUGGCUGGGAGGGUGCGCGGAGGGGGCGGGCCGGGCUGCGCCGCUCCAGCCGCGGCUCUAGAGCUGCGGGCGGCGAGACCCGGGACCCAGCUUGGCAACGGCGAUUGCGACGCGGGCCCCCAGGAUCUCCCGGCGCCCACCUCUGGAGCAGCCCCUGCUUCCAGCGCCAGGUCCGCCCGGGAAUCCCAGGGUCUCGCGGCACCGAACGGACCCGGGCUGGGGGUAGCGGGGUCCCCUGACUGGAGAAGACGCGGGUGGCACCUUGCGAGCUCCAGGAGCCCCGGCUCCACUGCGAGGCCUCGGGGGCGCAGACCUGCAGAGACUGCGGCCGACGGGAAGGAGAGAAGUUCUUUUGCCCAUCCUUGUGUGAGAGAAUGUCUAAAUACUGACCAGUUCCUUUCGUGA
rnacentral:lncRNA from 13 species